GUGUGUGUGUCCUCCUUUUGCGGAAUGUAGGCAACUUUUCCCCUCCCUCUGCCGACUGAGCGUACCACCCGUCCCAUCUGUCUCGGUCCAAGCAGCUGUUGCAUUCUCCUGCUAUGUGUGUGUUUUUUUUUUUUUUUGAACACAGAAACACACUCACUUUGACCGCUCCCCAAGCUAUUUGUCGCAGUCUCUUUGGGCCAAUCUUUAAGCGCCAUUGUCGAGUGAACUUCUUUGUUGCAUCAGUCAGCUUAAUGCCCACUUGACCUCUCGGAGGACCUUACAAGUGCCAAGCCUCUGAAGUGUGUGCUGAGCGUUGACAUAUUGUGACAAACACACACGACCCAGUAGCACUCCUGACCUGGAAUGAUGAACUGACCUUGCUAUGCUUUCCAUAUAGCAAUGGAUGAUAAACAUUUCUGGCAUUUGCCUCAUCUGUUUCUCUUUCCCACUGAAGGGUGUAGCCCUAUCAGUGCAGCCUACUGUGUUUCACCACUACCCACUUCACACAGGACCCAGGAAGUACUGGAACUCACUGUCGAUUAGGAAGGGUUAAUCUAGUUAAUGUGGCAUUUCUGUCAUAUGGGAUAGAAAAGCUUCCUGAAAAAUACCUCAGCUUAUGGAGAGUAAAUUUUUCUUUGGGAUUUAUGGCUUGGCAAUGGAUGAAGAAUUCCUGAAUUUAGACAUCAUCAACAAGGAAAUGUUUGCACCAGCUUUUCCGUGUGGACGUGUAGACGACAGCAAAAUGGGUGGUUUUGGUUGUCUGCUGGAUUGGAAUAUCUCCCCUCAGGAAUCCCAGGAUUAGCCUCAGCUGCUCCGACUGCGCCCACAGCUCAACACGUCGGCCCGUCAGUCUGUCAUUAACUGAUGGUAGCCGCAGACGGCGAUUCCCCAGAUCCACAGCAAUUUCUGGAUUUUUUAAAUUGUCAUUUCACAAAUUGUGGAAGAUUAAUCAAGCAUGACUUGCUGGGCAACCAAUCACAAGUGGCGGAACACCCAGAAUGGCUUCGGCCUCAUCCAGCCGACAGGUACAACACUACAUCGGGUGGGUGGAUGUUUGACUGAGUGGGUUGCAAAAUUGGUUGACCAUGAGGUCAUCACCUGCGUCUCCUUUUUCUACUCUUCUUCCUCAUGCAUUGGUUCACCCUGAUGUGAAGUAAACUUAACUUCACUUACUUUCUUCUGGAUGCUCUAAAAGAAAUGAAAACAAA